CCCUAUUGCCAGUACUUGUUGUCGACUCCAGUGUUCGAAUUUUAGGCUUUUUUUGUGGUGUAAUGAUAAUUUGAGAGGCACUAUCAAAGGGAGGCAUGUGAAGAGGCUUUUAACUUUUAUUAACUACGGUUGUAAGCUGUGAAAAGCACAAAUUUGAAAACAAUGAAUAAAUAAUGGAGAAAUGUGCUUCAAUUAUGGUUUAUAAAUGUAUCAGUCAAGUGAUUCAGUGUUAGUGACCACCACCACCCACCCACCCACCCACCACCAUGUAGUGGGUGUAUAGGGUUCGGUCCAGCAGUCUGCCCUGGUGCUCUGUGAGGUGAAGAGCUGCGUGUCCUGCUACUCUAAUCCUGCCGGUGUGGUGACUGUGACCUGCCCUGACCUGCCUGUGACCUGCCCUGACCUGCCCUGACCUGCCUGUGACCUGCUUUUGACCUGCCUUGACUUCCUCUGACACACAUGGUGAGCCGAGACCUUCCGAGACCUUCCAAGACCUUCCAAAAUCUGCCGUGACCCACAGAUGAAGAUGUAUAGAUUUAAGAAGUGCGAUGAUGCGACACAGACAGACAGACAGACAGACAGACAGGUGUGGGAUGAGUGCUGGCAUACUGAAGGUCAAGAGGUCAAGAGGUCAAGAGUCACGUGUUGAGUCGUAUGGGUCACCAGACAGGUCACCCACCUAACCCCACUCGGCCUGUCAGUUCAGCGGCAACACUCAUGGAAGAAUUUGCCGCAAGCUGUGCCUCUCUGUGCUUGUUAUCCGAACCUUGUGUCUAAUAUUGCCUUAAUGUUGUGUGUGUGUGUGUGUGUGUGUGUGUGAGAGAGAGAGAGAGAGAGAGAGAGAGAGAUUUUGUUACUCGUCAUGUCCCCUGUACCACUUGAAGACCUCCACCAGACCCCCUCUUAGUCACCCUUGUCAUGUCCCCUGUGCCACUUGAAGACCUCCACCAGACCCCCUCUUAGUCACCCUUGUCAUGUCCCCUGUGCCACUUGAAGACCUCCACCAGACCCCCUCUUAGUCACCCUUGUCAUGUCCCCUGUACCACUUGAAGACCUCCACCAGACCCCCUCUUAGUCACCCUUGUUGUGUCCCCUGUACCACUUGAAGACCUCCACCAGACCCCCUCUUAGUCACCCUUGUUGUGUCCCCUGUACCACUUGAAGACCUCCACCAGACCCCCUCUUAGUCACCCUUGUUGUGUCCCCUGUACCACUUGAAGACCUCCACCAGACCCCCUCUUAGUCACCCUUGUUGUGUCCCCUGUACCACUUGAAGACCUCCACCUGACCCCCUCUUAGUCACCUUUCUCUGAGAUACAAUAGUGUCUAGUCAUCCUUCCUAUGUCAUCCUUGUGUAAUCAGGAAUAAUUAUCAGCAUUUGUACUCCUCCUGUCUGUCUGUCUGUCUGUCUGUCUGUCUGUCUGUCUGUCUGCCUACCAGUUAAAAUGAUUUAUGUAGUCAGUUAUACUUGUGAAUACUGUGUGUGUGUGUGUGUGUAUAUAUGAAUUAAUGUUUAUUGUGAAGUAUCUGCCUGCCUGCUUGCAAAUUAAUUAUCAAUAUAGUUACUGUUUGUGUGUGUUUGUGUGUUAUAAAGCAAUCUUGUGUAUAUUAUUGAUUGUAUUCCACAUGUAUGGGCUGGCCAGACGUGAUGUACUGUGACAGCCAGAACCUUGACAUAUACUGCUUGAUAAAAUGAAAAUAAGCAAAAAUACAUGAAUAAAGUACAAAUUUUGAGCCGAAUUAAUGAGGACUCUCUCUCGUCUUUUUCAGAGGUGCGUACAUCUGCAAGUCACUCCAACCAACCUCUUAUAUCCUACCUUAUUCUGAUAUAUUAGGUUAGACUCAGUUAGGUUACUUAUAUUGGGGGCCUGUCUUCCUUACUAACCUAACCUAACCUAACCCAUUCCUUCCUUCUCGUCAAGCUGUUGGUGGGAGAAGCCCCAGGACUCUCAAGCGUGGGUUGAGUCACAACUGCGGGUGUGCUAGCUCACCUUGAAGUCCGACGGGGCUCACGUGUUGCAGUGUUGCAGUGUUGCAGUGUUGCAGAUCUUCACCCAAACAAGGGGAGUAUUGUUUUUUUGUGUUGUUUUGUAUAUAUAUAUAUUUUUUUGUGGGGGGAGGGAGUCUGGGGAUAGCUAUCUGCGGUGUGCGUCUGUGCGUGCGUCUGUGCGUGCGUCUGUGCGUGCGUCUGUGUGUGCGUCUGUGCGUGUGCGUCUGUGCACGUGCGUCUGUGUGCGUGCAUCUGUGUGUAUGUCUUUUUUUUGGUUGUGUGUGUGUGAAUUUUUUUUUGGUAUAAAUAUAUAGGUGGCAGGCCUUAGGUUAGGAUAUUUGACACAGAUUAAUAUAGAAGAUAGUUUAAGUUAGUUAUUAAUAUAGAAGAUGGUUUAAGUUAGUUAAGGGUUAAGUGAGGCAUAGAGAGAGAGAGAGAGAGAGAGGGAAGACAGAUAUUAAUAGAAUUAGCUUAUAUUUUUUUUAGGGUUUUAAGUAAGUAUCUAGGUGGCAGGUCAGAAUGAUAUAAUAUUUAACACAGAUUAAUAUAGAAGAUGGUUUUAAGUUAGUAUAUAUCAAAGGGUUAAGUGAGGCAUAGAGAGAGAGAGAUAGGGUUAUUAAUAGGAUGACAGGAGUAUAUAUGAAAGGGUUAAGUGAGGCAUAGAGAGAGAGAGAAAGGGUUAUUAAUAGGAUGACAGGAGUAUAUAUGAAAGGGUUAAGUGAGGCAUAGAGAGAGAGAGAGAGAAAGGGUUAUUAAUAGGAUGACAGGAGUAUAUAUGAAAGGGUUAAGUGAGGCAUAGAGAGAGAGAAAGGGUUAUUAAUAGGAUGACAGGAGUAUAUAUGAAAGGGUUAAGUGAGGCAUAGAAAGGGUUAUUAAUAGGAUUAGGUUGACGGGGUGUAUGAAUGUUUAACUCAGAUUAUAUUGAAUGUUUAUUUCUUUAUAAUCUGAGUGUAUGGCAUGUUGAGUAUUAGUAUGUUAUUUUUGUAGUGGUGGUAGUGGUGGUAGUGGUGGUGG